GACGUAGGAUGCAAGCGUUAUUCGGAUUUAUUGGGCGUAAAGCGUGCGUAGGCGGCUGUUUAAGUCUGGUGUUAAAGCUAGGGGCUCAACCCCUGUGGUGCAUCGGAUACUGGGCAGCUUGAGUGCGGUAGGGGAAGGUGGAAUUCCGAGUGUAGCGGUGAAAUGCGUAGAUAUUCGGAAGAACACCGGUGGCGAAGGCGACCUUCUGGGCCGCAACUGACGCUGAGGCACGAAAGCUUGGGGAGCGAACGGG
rnacentral:rRNA from 1 species